UACGUAGGGUGCAGGCGUUAAUCGGAAUUACUGGGCGUAAAGCGUGCGCAGGCGGUUUCUUAAGUCAGAUGUGAAAGCCCCGGGCUUAACCUGGGAACUGCGUUUGAAACUGGGAGACUUGAGUGUGGCAGAGGGGGGUGGAAUUCCACGUGUAGCAGUGAAAUGCGUAGAUAUGUGGAGGAACACCGAUGGCGAAGGCAGCCCCCUGGGUUAACACUGACGCUCAUGCACGAAAGCGUGGGGAGCGAACAGG
rnacentral:rRNA from 1 species